CGCCCCGCCCCCUCCGGAUAGCCUUUUCUGGCACCGCUCUAGCCGUCGCUCUCGGUGGGCACGGCCGCCAGCCAAUCACAGGGCGUACCGCUCUGCUCCCCUCCCCCUCGCCUCCCGUGGAUCAGCUGGGGUACCCGAGAUGUCUGUUGACAGCGGUGGCGGCGACUGUAAGGCCGGUUCCGGGAUCCGCGCAGGGCGUGGGAUGUGAGUCCUAUGGAGCUACACGGGGAAGAGCAGCCGCCGCCGCCGCAGGAACCCUGGGGGAGGCUUCUUCGUCUAGGCGCAGAGGAGGACGAACCCCAGAUCCUUCUUUGGAAACGCGAGUGGACCAUCGGAAGGAGGAGAGGCUGUGACCUCUCUUUCCCCAGCAAUAAACUGGUCUCUGGAGAUCACUGUAAACUUACAGUGGAUGAAAUAUCUGGUGAGGUGACACUGGAAGACACCAGCACCAAUGGAACAGUGAUCAAUAAGCUGCAAGUUGUUAAGAAGCAGACUUACCCUUUACAGAGCGGGGAUAUCAUCUAUUUGGUGUACAGGAAGAAUGAGCCAGAACACAAUGUGGCAUACCUCUAUGAAUCUUUAAGUGGCAAACAGAGCUUAACUCAAGACUCCCUUGAAGCCAAUAAGGAAAAUAUGUUCCAUGUGACCAAAGAUUGCUCAGGUCCAGGGCAGGGUGAUGAUCCCCAGGUUCCACUAUUGUCACCCAUGGCUCAGACAUGCUUAGAGGAACCACAGCCAUCAACAUCGACAUCAGACCUCCUCCCCACGGCCUCUACCUCUUCUACGGAGCCAGAGCUGACCUCUGCAGGGCAAAAGCAUUCUUCUAGCUCUGGACCUGGGAACACAAGCAUCUCCCCAAAAGGACGCAGUUCACUUGUUGCAAAUGGCGAACUCUCUAGCCUUUCUCCAGUUUUCCAAGACAAAGAAGCAUCCUUUUCUUUGCUGGAAAGUAAAGACCAUGAGGAAUUGGAGCCUGCCAAAAAAAAGAUGAAAGGAGAUGGGGAACUUGACACGAACCUCCAGUUAUUAGUUUCAGGCCAGCGUGGAAAUGCCCAAACCUCAAGUGAAGAUGUCAAAGAUGCCUCUGUGAAGCCAGACAAGAUGGAGGAGACACUAACCUGUAUCAUCUGCCAGGACCUUCUGCACGAUUGUGUGAGUUUGCAGCCUUGUAUGCACACAUUUUGUGCGGCUUGCUACUCUGGUUGGAUGGAGCGUUCAUCUCUGUGCCCUACCUGCCGAUGUCCAGUGGAGCGGAUUUGCAAAAACCACAUCCUGAACAACCUAGUGGAAGCAUACCUUAUCCAGCACCCAGAUAAAAGUCGCAGUGAAGAAGAUGUGAGAAGUAUGGAUGCAAGGAAUAAAAUCACUCAAGAUAUGCUGCAACCCAAAGUCAGGAGGUCUUUCUCUGAUGAAGAGGGGAGUUCAGAGGACCUGCUAGAGCUGUCUGAUGUCGACAGUGAAUCCUCAGAUAUCAGUCAGCCAUACAUUGUCUGCAGACAGUGUCCUGAAUACAGAAGGCAAGCGGUGCAGUCUCUUCCUUGCCCAGUCCCAGAGAGUGAGCUGGGAGCUACACUGGCCCUUGGUGGGGAGGCACCUUCAACAUCUGCCAGCUUGCCAACAGCAGCCCCGGAUUACAUGUGCCCUCUUCAAGGAAGCCAUGCCAUAUGCACCUGCUGCUUCCAGCCUAUGCCUGACCGGAGAGCUGAACGGGAGCAGGAUCCCCGCGUCGCCCCUCAGCAGUGUGCGGUGUGCCUGCAGCCCUUCUGCCACCUGUACUGGGGCUGCACGAGGACUGGCUGCUUUGGCUGCUUGGCCCCAUUCUGUGAGCUCAACCUGGGGGACAAGUGCUUGGAUGGAGUGCUGAACAAUAACAAUUAUGAAUCGGACAUCCUGAAGUGUCUUAUCUGUCCUUGUGCUGUGAAGGCCUUUGUGGAAUUUUUUGAGAGAAUCGUGACUCUUCUUCAGGUCCAGAAGCAAAAGAGCCUCUUGGCAAAGAGCUUGUGAAACAUAUGAGGGAACUGACUGUAGUUUAUCCACUGGCUCUGUGCAAAAGCCACUCAAGGACAGCUGUGUUCUGGCUGUGUCUGCUCUCGGAGCCUUGUAUGAAGUAUCCCUGACUAGUUGAGUGGUUCAUCUAAACUGGAAUUUCUUUUCACCCUUUUUCUCAUCACAGAAUUACCUGGCAACCAGGGGUCUGACAUGGAAAAGUGUGUUGACAGAGAGUCUCCUGGCUCUGCAGCGAGGUGUAUUUAUGCUGUCUGAUUACAGAAUCACUGGAAAUACUGUGCUGUGUUACUGCUGUGGUCUGCGUAGCUUCCGAGAGCUGACCUACCAGUAUCGUCAGAACAUUCCUGCUUCUGAGUUGCCAGUGACUGUAACAUCCCGUCCUGACUGCUACUGGGGCCGUAACUGUCGCACUCAGGUGAAGGCUCACCAUGCAAUGAAAUUCAAUCACAUCUGUGAGCAAACAAGGUUCAAGAACUGAAUAUUGGAAGAGACACGUGAAACAGUUACAGAGCACAGGAGGCAAUGUUUUUUAAAAGGCCCCAUACAAACACUUGAAGGGCAUUUUUACAGUUUUCCCUACGCAGCACUGGGGGUUCUGGUCAGGCACUGGGGUGUGGAUUUUCCCUUUGUGGAGCGUCAUCGUCAGUGACACACACACCACGUGCCCCAGUAACCUGGGAGGCCUCCUGGCCACACCAGCCUUCUAGUCGGUGUAAGAGGAUCAGUAGACUGAGUUCUCCCUCCCUCCCACUGGACCGCUCUCCCUCCUGUGUGCUGAGGCAGUGACAGUGCAGGUUUGUACUUUUGUAUCUUUUCUACCUUGUACCUUGACUAUGGUUAAAAUGGGAAGCUCAUAGGAAAAGUUGUCAGCUGUGUCAGACGCAUUCUCCGGAAGGAAAGGAAGCAUACGUUUACAGCCUCCAGGGGUACAUAGGAUAGUCUCCUGUCUGGAAAGACACAGCCUUUUGUAUAUUUUUUAUUUUAAUAAGUUUGGUGCUUAUCUUCUAAUAAGAUUUAAAUAUUAAAAACUGUAGCACAAAUACUAUAAUUUAUAAUUUACAAAUUGACUAAAAUUAGGAAUAGCCUCAUAUUUGGAAGAAUGAGCAUAUGUUUCUGUUUAUUUAAAAAAAAUUAUCAACUGUCCGAAACUGCUAAUCCUGGGAAGGAAGUCUUGAGUGUCCAGGUCCUCGACCCAGGGCUGGCUGAGCCCUUAGCCCUCCAGUCCCUGAGAGCAACUCCCUGCUGAAACUCCAGAUGGCUCCAGACUGACAGGGCCUUUGCUUUCCAAGCCCUCAUCUGGUACAUUAGGUUUGCCAUGUCAUCUGGAAUAAUACUUGAAAUUUUGUUUUUAGGUUUUUUAAAACUUUUUUAUCUUUUAUUGAAAUCACCUGUUAUAUUUGUUUGAAAACUGGUAACUUUUUGCUUCUCAGGAAAAAAAUUUUCAACUGUUGUCUUGCUCUUGAUACAGACUGAGAGGCAGUACUCUGUGUUUGUGGGAGAUGGUUCUUUUUUUGAUUCUAAUAAAUGAGCUGUGUUUGUUUCUCUU